UAGAGAUCUGGAGGAAUACCGGUGGCGAAGGCGGCCCCCUGGACAAAGACUGACGCUCAGGUGCGAAAGCGUGGGGAGCAAACAGGAUUAGAUACCCUGGUAGUCCACGCUGUAAACGAUGUCGAUUUGGAGGUUGUGCCCUUGAGGCGUGGCUUCCGGAGCUAACGCGUUAAAUCGACCGCCUGGGGAGUACGGCCGCAAGGUUAAAACUCAAAUGAAUUGACGGGGGCCCGCACAAGCGGUGGAGCAUGUGGUUUAAUUCGAUGCAACGCGAAGAACCUUACCUGGUCUUGACAUCCACAGAACUUUCCAGAGAUGGAUUGGUGCCUUCGGGAACUGUGAGACAGGUGCUGCAUGGCUGUCGUCAGCUCGUGUUGUGAAAUGUUGGGUUAAGUCCCGCAACGAGCGCAACCC
rnacentral:rRNA from 1 species